AUUGAACGCUGGCGGCAGGCCUAACACAUGCAAGUCGAACGGUAACAGGAAGAAGCUUGCUUCUUUGCUGACGAGUGGCGGACGGGUGAGACAUGUCUGGGCAACUGCCUGAUGGAGGGGGAUAACUACUGGCAACGGUAGCUAAUACCGCAUAACGUCUCAAGCCCAAAGAGGGGGACCUUCGGGCCUCUUGCCAUCGGAUUUUCCCAGCUGGGAUUAGCUAGUAGGUGGGGUAACGGCUCACCUAGGCGACGAUCCCUAGCUCGUCUGAGAGUAUGACCAGCGACACUGGAAGUGAGACACGGUCCAGACUCCUACGGGAGGCAGCAGUGGGGAAUAUUGCACAAUGGGCGCAAGCCUGAUGCAGCCAUGCCGCGUGUAUGAAGAAGGCCUUCGGGUUGUAAAGUACUUUCAGCGGGGAGGAAGGGAGUAAAGUUAAUACCUUGGCUGAUUGACGUUACCCGGAGAAGAAGCACCGGCUAACUACGUG
rnacentral:rRNA from 1 species